UACAGAGGUCUCAAGCGUUGUUCGGAUUCAUUGGGCGUAAAGGGUGCGUAGGCGGCGCGGUAAGUCGGGUGUGAAAUCUUGGAGCUUAACUCCGAAACUGCAUUCGAUACUGCCGUGCUUGAGGACUGGAGAGGAGACUGGAAUUUACGGUGUAGCGGUGAAAUGCGUAGGAUAAUCGUGAAGGAAGACCAGUGGCGAAAGG
rnacentral:rRNA from 1 species